GCAUGUUGGUAAGGGCCUAGUCCCCUAGGAGGUAAGGGUUAAGGGCCAAGUCCCCUAGGAGGUAAGGGUUAAGGGCCAAGUCCCCUAGGAGGUAAGGGUUAAGGGCCAAGUCCCCUAGGAGGUAAGGGUUAAGGGCCAAGUCCCCUAGGAGGUAAGGGUUAAGGGCCAAGUCCCCUAGGAGGUAAGGGUUAAGGGCCAAGUCCCCUAGGAGGUAAGGGUUAAGGGCCAAGUCCCCUAGGAGGUAAGGGUUAAGGGCCAAGUCCCCUAGGAGGUAAGGGUUAAGGGCCAAGUCCCCUAGGAGGUAAGGGUUAAGGGCCAAGUCCCCUAGGAGGUAAGGGUUAAGGGCCAAGUCCCCUAGGAGGUAAGGGUUAAGGGCCAAGUCCCCUAGGAGGUAAGGGUUAAGGGCCAAGUCCCCUAGGAGGUAAGGGUUAAGGGCCUAGUCCCCUAGGAGGUAAGGGUUAAGGGCCUAGUGCCCUAGGAGGUAAUGGGUAAGGGCCUAGUCCCCUAGGUAGUAGUGGUUAA